GAUGAAGAACGCAGCGAAAUGCGAUAAGUAAUGUGAAUUGCAGAAUUCAGUGAAUCAUCGAAUCUUUGAACGCACAUUGCGCCCCUUGGUAUUCCGAGGGGCAUGCCUAUUCGAGCGUCAUUAUCACCCCUCAAGCCUAGCUUGGUGUUGAGGCCUGCUGUCAAGGCAGCCUCUAAAAUCAGUGGCAGUGCUGUCAGGCUCUAAGCGUAGUAAAUCUAAUCGCUAUAGACACCUGGUGGACACUCGCCAGAACCCCCCCCCAUUUUUUAAAGAUUGACCUCGGAUUAGGUAGGGAUACCCGCUGAACUUAAGCAUAUCAAUAAGCGGAGGA
rnacentral:misc_RNA from 1 species